GAUGAAGAACGCAGCGAAAUGCGAUAAGUAAUGUGAAUUGCAGAAUUCCGUGAAUCAUCGAAUCUUUGAACGCACAUUGCGCCCACUGGUAUUCCGGUGGGCAUGCCUGUUCGAGCGUCAUUAUCCUCCCUCAAACCCCGGGUUUGGUGUUGGACCCAAGUUGUGUGAACAACUGGUCUCAAAGACAAUGACGGCGUCCGUGGGACCCUCGGUGCAACGAGCUUUUAGGAGCACGCAUCGAGUUGCAAGGACCUUCCGGGCCGGUCUCCUUUACCAUUUUACAAGGUUGACCUCGGAUCAGGUAGGAAUACCCGCUGAACUUAAGCAUAUCAAUAAGCGGAGGA
rnacentral:misc_RNA from 1 species